rnacentral:rRNA from 1 species
UACGAAGGUGGCAAGCGUUACUCGGAAUUACUAGGCGUAAAGGGCAGGUAGGUGGUUUUGUAAGUCUAUUGUGAAAGCUCCCGGCUUAACUGGGAGAGGUCAAUGGAUACUGCAGGACUUGAGUAUGGGAGAGGUUACUGGAAUUCCCGGUGUAGCGGUGAAAUGCGCAGAUAUCGGGAGGAACACCAAUGGCGAAAGCAGGUAACUGGACCAUUACUGACACUCAGCUGCGAAAGCUAGGGGAGCAAACAGG